CGUCCUAAAAAAUAAAUGACACCUCACAACUGCAUGGCCUGCCUUGGCGCAACAAACCCAAUUAUUCACCACUCUUGUUUUCACUGUAACGUAUUUUAAAAUACAAUACAUGGGUCACAGACGUGUACAGAAUGCAUGUACUGUAUGUGGAACAAACUGCCCUUGAGAGGCAUCAACCUUUCAACAAAUGCCUAUGCUAACGCAAUUCGAAAGGUGUAGCAUCCUCAUCCAGCUACCUAAACAAUUAGUAAGUGCAAUGUGGUGAGUAGAAUAAUCCUCUUAUGAAGGCCACACACUUUGGAGCUGACAACAGUGUGCACUCGGCCGUGUUCGGUUGGGCUUUAAUUCAAGGUGGCAUCCGUCUGCAGAUCGUCUGCUUGGGACAUAACUUCUUCCUCAUGUUAAGAUGCAGUUUAAUUUGGCAUUAAGGACUGCUGGGAAGUUGGGAAAUCCCACAAGGUUGAUCCAGCAAUCCAUUUUCUAUACUGCUUAUCCUGUUCAGGGUGCAAGUGAACUCGAGCAUAUGGCAGCUGACUGCAGGCGAAUAGCAGGCUACACCCUGGACUUGGCAGCAGUCAAUCACCGGGUCCGUGUAGAGACAGAUGACCAUUCACACUUGCAUUCACACCGGCACUGAGUGGGAACUGAACCCACAAUGCCUGCAUGGAAGUCAGGUGGACAAGGUGUGCACAGCAGAAAGAGCAGCACAAUGGCCAUUUAAUUGAUGCAGCGUGACAAAAGGUCGCGGGCGUGCUGGAGCCCAUCCCAGCUGUCAUCGGGCAGGAGGCGGGGUACACCCUGAACUGGUUGCCAGUUUAAUGAUAUAAUUAUUGCAUAUAUUUAUAAAGUACAAUAUUAUGAAGUGCC